UCAUAUACAACAUUUGAAUACUAGUAUCUUGCCUUAAGACAUGUAAAGUGUGAGUCCUCCUAUUCCCACCCUCCUUCUGCUUUUUCUUUUGCUUCUUCACAAAUCAUUCAGUCUGUCUUUUAAGAGGAUCAUUACUGAACCUCGAAUGAGUUCCCAGACCGUGCCUAUGAAUACAGACGAAGAGGGCGGAUACUCUAAUUUAUAUCACCUGCCACAGAACCUAGCCAGAGGCUACAUGCCCCUGAACAUCAACAAAGGGCACUCUCUUCCUUUUGCUGUAUGGUGGCCAGAUAUCUUUACUUUGUUUGUGCUGUGCCUGGCCCUCACCAUAGGAAUGAUAAUCUUAGGUCUCAGAGGUUCUAAGGCACCUGCGGGACAAAAUGAAAACUUGCAAGGACUAAAAGAGAAAUUGUGCUUGAUGGGUGAUGACAACAGUAAGAACAAUAG